CACCAGAGAGUUAAAAUAUUUAAUGACAAAAUCCAAGUUGCUAUAAGAGUGAACCAACAGAACAGUUGUUAACUUGUCUCUGAAUGAAACAAAAAUGGUACUGUACUCAGUAUCAUAGAGAAUUUCUGAAAAACCAAGAACAACACACAUUAGCAGCAUCACAAUUCUGAUAAUUAGGAGUGAAACCUAUCUUAACUAGUAUCUCUUAUAUAGGGCACUCUGUAACUGUUUCUACAUAAAUGCAUAAUCUUUGCUAGUCACAAUAGUAUAAAACAGAUUUCACUAUAAUUUUAAGUCUAACACAUAAUAUUACUUCUACCAGACCUUAAAAAAAGUUAGCUACUGGUCUUGUUACAUUUUACAAGUACAUUCUUUAAAAUGAAACAUCAACCUGAAUAACUGCAUAGAGCCUGGACAUAGAUAGCUAAUCAUACUAGUGAAGAACACUAUGGCAACAUUCCAGGAAGAAGUGGAAAUGCUGGCAAGUUCCCUUUUUAAUGCAUUAUAAUUUUUAUGCAUUAUAAUUUUAUGCAAUACAAUUCACAAAGUCCUUCAGAGAAAGACCGCAUUUCCAAAAUUCAUAAUGAAGUGCAGAAAUAAAAUCAACACUGUACGUCUUCUAGCAAGCUCAACCAAAUGACUUGGUCCCUUAUGACAGGAGUCCUCUUAGCAAAUUCAUGCCAGUUACACUGUAAUAGCGUUUUAUAUUGCAACACCUUCUACAAAAGGAUUGCAAUGGAUUUCACAUGUGUCAUCAGGGGUUUCUCUGCAAGAGGCUGGACAGCUGAAAAGGGGCAGCAAUUGCUGUUAUAGUCCAUGUGUUUGGUGGAAGACAAGCAAGAUGGAUCACAGACCAAGGUCAUGGUGAUGGCCUAGAUGCUGAUUGAUCAGUAGAGGAAGCUAGCAGAGCUCCAGGUGGGCUUUUCUUUUAGUUCAGACUAUUUCCAACAAGAUUUAGGCCAAAAGUGAUCAAGAGAGAGAAUGGAAAGAGGGCAGGUACAGGGCACUUACAUUCAUAGAAAACAACUAAAAGGGGAAGACUCCGCUUUCACAGUAUGCUUCUGCCUGUUCAGAAACAGAUGCCCCAAAGUUGGUUGUCAGGUAUCUAACAAGCAAUUUUAUUGUUGACUUGUGCGGGGAAGUUAGACUAUUUCUCUCAACUCUGUAUAUUAACUCUCUGAAACUAGAACCCAGUUCUAGAAGACAAAUAUUCAUGUUUUCUGAGAUAAAGUCUGCAAAUGAGACCAAUUUGGAGUGUUCUUUGGGCGCUUUUUCUUUUUAUUCUUAUUUUUUACGAAUCAGACAGUUCCACUAGUCAGCAGAUGGCAGGUUCCUGACUUUUUUAAAAAAAAAAAUUAUAAGACACCUAAAGAAAAAUGUAAGGUAUAGUAAACAUUCAUAAUCCUCUAUGUACAUUUUACAGUAUGUUCUUCACCUGGAUAAUCUACCCAAGAGGAUUCUUACACUUUUUUGCAGCAAAUCCCAUCCUCUUCCUGACAUUAUACCUAUGCUAUUCCAUAGAAAUGUGCUUUCUCAGGGGAUGCGUUAUUAGGAGAACUUAAGCUAUUUAAAUCAGCAUUAAUAAUC
ensembl:lncRNA